CCUACGGGAGACAGCAGUGAGGAAUAUUGGUCAAUGGACGCAAGUCUGAACCAGCCAUGCCGCGUGCAGGAAGACGGCUCUAUGAGUUGUAAACUGCUUUUGUACGAGGGUAAACGCAGAUACGUGUAUCUGUCUGAAAGUAUCGUACGAAUAAGGAUCGGCUAACUCCGUGCCAGCAGCCGCGGUAAUACGGAGGAUUCAAGCGUUAUCCGGAUUUAUUGGGUUUAAAGGGUGCGUAGGCGGUCGGAUAAGUUAGAGGUGAAAUCCCGAGGCUCAACUUCGGAAUUGCCUCUGAUACUGUGCGGCUAGAGAGCAGUUGCGGUAGGCGGAAUGUAUGGUGUAGCGGUGAAAUGCUUAGAGAUCAUACAGAACACCGAUUGCGAAGGCAGCUUACCAAGCUACUUCUGACGUUGAGGCACGAAAGCGUGGGGAGCAAACAGGAUUAGAUACCCGGGUAGUC
rnacentral:rRNA from 1 species